rnacentral:lncRNA from 1 species
AUUGCUUCUGUUUCUUUCUUGUGCUCUAGACUAGUGAAUUCUUGCCUGCAAAGGAAAAAAAUGUUUCAAAAUGCAGGAUACAUGUGGGACUGGCUAAAAGGAGUCCUCAGUGAAAAGACUGGAAAACCACUGGCGAAAGUCAUGUCUGGAGAAGAGCAGGAAUAGACAGGAUCCACAGCUAGGACCUCGGCGGAGAACAUCGCUCCCAUGAAACGCCUGGCCCAGAGGUGCAAAAUACCCGUCUUCUCUGCAGAUCUCAACAAGUAUUUGUUGGGUGUCUUCUGGAUUCUGCGUUAGAGAAUGGUGGUGGCAAGAAACCAUCAGAGAAAGGAGAGGAAUGUAAUCUAGAGUUAGGUUCUAAUGUUACAAAUAAAAAACAUUCCUUUAAACUAGAUGUUUUUUGGGUAAAAUUUGGAAGGUUAGAAAAAAGAGGGGAUGCGGGUGUUGCUUCAUGAAGGGCCUUGUGGGCCAUGUUAAGGAAUUUAGACUUUAUCCUAUAGCAACAGGAAGCCAUUAAACAUGGUCAGAGGCAUGGGGGCUGGGGGGCAGUGAUGGAGAUCUGUGCUUGGGAAAGAGGACACUGGCGACUUGUCGAGGAUUAGCCUGCAAGCAAGGAGCUAAAUGAGGAGGCCAUUAUGCUUGCCCAGGAAAUCAAUGAGCUCAGACUAUUUCAGUGAGG